rnacentral:rRNA from 1 species
UUCCGUAGGUGAAACCUGCGGAGGGAUCAUUACACAAUAAAAUACGAAGGCCGUUCGCGGCUGGCUGGACUAUUUAUUACCCUUGUCUUUUGCGCACUUGUUGUUUCCUGGGCGGGUUCGCUCGCCACCAGGACCACAAUAUAAACCUUUUUUAUGCAGUUGCAAUCAGCGUCAGUAUAACAAAUGUAAAUCAUUUACAACUUUCAACAACGGAUCUCUUGGUUCUGGCAUCGAUGAAGAACGCAGCGAAAUGCGAUACGUAGUGUGAAUUGCAGAAUUCAGUGAAUCAUCGAAUCUUUGAACGCACAUUGCGCCCUUUGGUAUUCCAAAGGGCAUGCCUGUUCGAGCGUCAUUUGUACCCUCAAGCUUUGCUUGGUGUUGGGCGUUUUUGUCCCCCCCAAAAGGGGGACUCGCCUUAAAAGGAUUGGCAGCCGGCCUACUGGUUUCGCAGCGCAGCACAUUUUUGCGCUUGCAAUCAGCAAAAGAGGACGGCAAUCCAUCAAGACUCCUUCUCACGUUUGACCUCGGAUCAGGUAGGGAUACCCGCUGAACUUAAGCAUAUCAAUAAGCGGAGGA